rnacentral:tRNA from 1 species
GCUUCCGUGGCUCAGGGGUAGAGCAGCUCACUCGUAAUGAGCAGGUCGUCGGUUCAAAUCCGACCGGAAGCUCCA